GGAGUUUGGUCCGUGUCUCAGUUCCAGUGUGGGGGACCUUCCUCUCAGAACCCCUACCGAUCGUAGCCACGGUGGGCCGUUACCCCGCCGUCAAGCUAAUCGGACGCAUCCCCAUCCCUUAGCGGUGAACCUUUGCUUCAUUUCAGAUGUCCUCUACGAAGAACAUAGGGUAUUAAUCCGAUUUUCACCGGGCUAUGCCCUACUAAGGGGAAGGUUGGAUACGCGUUACUCACCCGUGCGCCGGUCGCCAGCAACAAUAGCAAGCUAUCGUCCUGCUGCCCCUCGACUUGCACUGUGUUAAGCCUGUAGCUAGCGUUCAUC
rnacentral:rRNA from 1 species